AUUGAACGCUGGCGGCAGGCCUAACACAUGCAAGUCGAGCGAGUGGCGGACGGGUGAGUAAUGUCGGGGAAACUGCCUGAUGGCGGGGGAUAACUACUGGAAACGGUAGCUAAUACCGCAUACCAGCGGAUGUGCCCAGAUGGGAUUCGCUAGUAGGUGGGGUAAAGGCUUACCUAGGCGACGAUCCCUAGCUGGUCUGAGAGGAUGACCGGCCACACUGGAACUGAGACACGGUCCAGACUCCUACGGGAGGCAGCAGUGGGGAAUAUUGCACAAUGGGCGCAAGCCUGAUGCAGCCAUGCCGCGUGUAUGAAGAAGGCCUUCGGGUUGUAAAGUACUUUCAGCGGGGAGGCGUUACCCGCACAAGAAGCACCGGCUAACUCCGUGCCAGCAGCCGCGGUAAUAC
rnacentral:rRNA from 1 species